UACGUAGGGUGCGAGCGUUGUCCGGAAUUACUGGGCGUAAAGAGCUCGUAGGUGGUUUGUCGCGUUGUUCGUGAAAACUCACAGCUUAACUGUGGGCGUGCGGGCGAUACGGGCAGACUGGAGUACUGCAGGGGAGACUGGAAUUCCUGGUGUAGCGGUGGAAUGCGCAGAUAUCAGGAGAAACACCCGUGGCUAAGGCGGCUCUCUAGUACGGUACUGACGCUGAGACGCGAAAGCGUGGGGAGCGAACAGG
rnacentral:rRNA from 1 species